rnacentral:rRNA from 1 species
AACGCUAGCUACAGGCUUAACACAUGCAAGUCGAGGGGCAGCAUGGAACUUAGCUUGCUAAGUUUCGAUGGCGACCGGCGCACGGGUGAGUAACACGUAUCCAACCUACCGUUUACUACGGGAUAGCCUUCUGAAAAGGAGAUUAAUACCGUAUGGCAUUCUAAGGUUUCAUGACAUUAGAAUUAAAGGUUUACCGGUAAUCGAUGGGGAUGCGUUCCAUUAGAUAGUAGGCGGGGUAACGGCCCACCUAGUCUACGAUGGAUAGGGGUUCUGAGAGGAAGGUCCCCCACAUUGGAACUGAGACACGGUCCAAACUCCUACGGGAGGCAGCAGUGAGGAAUAUUGGUCAAUGGGCGCGAGCCUGAACCAGCCAAGUAGCGUGAAGGAUGACUGCCCUAUGGGUUGUAAACUUCUUUUAUAAAGGAAUAAAGUAGUCCACGUGUGGAUUUUUGUAUGUACUUUAUGAAUAAGGAUCGGCUAACUCCGUGCCAGCAGCCGCGGUAAUACGGAGGAUCCAAGCGUUAUCCGGAUUUAUUGGGUUUAAAGGGAGCGUAGAUGGAUUUUUAAGUCAGUUGUGAAAGUUCGGGGCUCAACCCCGUAAUUGCAGUUGAUACUGGAUAUCUUGAGUACAGUUGAGGUAGGCGGAAUUCGUGGUGUAGCGGUGAAAUGCUUAGAUAUCACGAAGAACUCCGAUUGCGAAGGCAGCUUACUAAGCUGUAACUGACAUUGAGGCUCGAAAGUGUGGGUAUCAAACAGGAUUAGAUACCCUGGUAGUCCACACGGUAAACUAUGGAUACUCGCUGUAGGCGAUACACAGUCUGCGGCCAAGCGAAAGCAUUAAGUAUUCCACCUGGGGAGUACGCCGGCAACGGUGAAACUCAAAGGAAUUGACGGGGGCCCGCACAAGCGGAGGAACAUGUGGUUUAAUUCGAUGAUACGCGAGGAACCUUACCCGGGCUUGAAUUGCAGAGGAACAUAGUUGAAAGAUUAUGGCCGCAAGGUCUCUGUGAAGGUGCUGCAUGGUUGUCGUCAGCUCGUGCCGUGAGGUGUCGGCUUAAGUGC